AGAGUUUGAUCCUGGCUCAGAACGAACGCUGGCGGCGUGGAUAAGACAUGCAAGUCGAGCGAGAUUUUUUCCUGUAGCAAUACAGGGAAAAGUCUAGCGGCGAACGGGUGCUUAACACGUGGGCAACCUGCCAAGAAGUGGGGGAUAGCUCGCCGAAAGGCGAAUUAAUACCGCAUGUGAUCAGAGUGGACAUCCAUUCGAAAUCAAAGUCGGGGCAACCUGACGCUUCUUGAGGGGCCCGCGGCCUAUCAGCUAGUUGGUGAGGUAACGGCCCACCAAGGCUUAGACGGGUAGCUGGUCUGAGAGGACGACCAGCCACACUGGGACUGAGACACGGCCCAGACACCUACGGGUGGCAGCAGUCGAGAAUUUUUGACAAUGGGGGAAACCCUGAUCGAGCGACGCCGCGUGGAGGAUGAAGGUCUUCGGGUUGUAAACUCCUGUCAUUUGGGAACAAUGGUUAUGCGUUAACUGCGCGUGACUUGAUAGUACCAGAAGAGGAAGAGACGGCUAACUCUGUGCCAGCAGCCGCGGUAAUACAGAGGUCUCAAGCGUUGUUCGGAUUCAUUGGGCGUAAAGGGUGCGUAGGCGGCGCGGUAAGUCGGGUGUGAAAUCUCGGAGCUUAACUCCGAAACUGCAUUCGAUACUGCCGUGCUUGAGGACUGGAGAGGAGACUGGAAUUUACGGUGUAGCAGUGAAAUGCGUAGAUAUCGUAAGGAAGACCAGUGGCGAAGGCGGGUCUCUGGACAGUUCCUGACGCUGAGGCACGAAGGCCAGGGGAGCAAACGGGAUUAGAUACCCCUGUAGUCC
rnacentral:rRNA from 1 species